AUUGAACGCUGGCGGCAUGCCUUACACAUGCAAGUCGAACGGCAGCACGGGUGCUUGCACCUGGUGGCGAGUGGCGAACGGGUGAGUAAUAUAUCGGAACGUACCUUAUUGUGGGGGAUAACGCAGCGAAAGCUGUGUCUAAUACCGCAUAAUCCCUAAGGGGGAAAGCGGGGGACCGUAAGGCCUCGCGCAAUUAGAGCGGCCGAUACCUGAUUAGCUAGUUGGUGAGGUAAAGGAACACCAAGGCAACGAUCAGUAGCUGGUCUGAGAGGACGGUCAGCCACACUGGGACUGAGACACGGCCCAGACUCCUACGGGAGGCAGCAGUGGGGAAUUUUGGACAAUGGGGGCAACCCUGAUCCAGAAAUGCCGCGUGAGUGAAGAAGGCCUUCGGGUUGUAAAGCUCUUUUGUCAGGGAAGAAACAGCAGCUCUAACACAGUAUGCGAAUGACGGUACCUGAAGAAUAAGCACCGGUUAACUACGUGCCAGCCGCCGCGGUAA
rnacentral:rRNA from 1 species